rnacentral:lncRNA from 10 species
UUCUCCUUGAAGAGGUCCUUCACAUCCCUUGUAAGUUGGAUUCCUAGGUAUUUUAUUCUCUUUGAAGCAAUUGUGAAUGGAAGUUCACUCAUGAUUUGGCUCACUGUUUGUCUGUUAUUGGUGUAUAAGAAUGCUUGUGAUUUUUGCACAUUGAUUUUGUAUCCUGAGACUUUGCUGAAGUUGCUUAUCAGCUUAAAGAGAUUUUGGGCUGAGACGAUGGGGUUUUCUAAAUGUACAAUCAUGUCAUCUGCAAACAGGGACAAUUU